rnacentral:misc_RNA from 1 species
AAGUCGUAACAAGGUAACCGUAGGUGAACCUGCGGUUGGAUCAUUAGUGGUUUUUACGUAGCGCUGUUGUAGUGUUUCUGUGUGGGGUUGGUCUUUGGUUUUGGUGUUGUCUUUUUGUUUGUCUGUUUUUGUGCAUUGCCUUGUGCGAUGUCUUGUGCCUUGCCUUGUGCCUUGCCUUGUGCCUUGCCUGGCAGUACAAACGAUCGACGGCAACACUCGGACCAGACCCAAGCCCUUACAGACAAUAGACGUCUUUGCUUGCUUUGAUGAAACCAAAUCAAAAACAACUUUUGACAACGGAUCUCUUGGCUCUC